rnacentral:misc_RNA from 1 species
UGGAUUCGUUAUUGAGCCUAGGAUCAUCGUCAUUAGCUUCUCGAGUAUCAAAUUAUCGCGAUUACUUGUCCAAUUCCAUCAUGGUCAUGUUUGCACUGGUAAAUAUCUCCUCUAUUGCAUAACGAUCACGUCUAGCGCCAAUAGGGAUUCGUUUCACGCCCUUAACCCUAACUCUAAUCUUAACGCCAAACCGACAUAUAUAUAUAUAUAUAUAUAUAUAUACAUACAUAUAUAUAUUUUAUACAUACAUACAUAUAUCAAUUUUUAUACACACAAUUAUACAUAUUUAUAUAUGUAUGUCAUUAAGCGCUGGAAUAAAGAAUGACGAAUCGUUAUUCUUUAACCAUCGUACUUAGACACAUAUUUAUUGAGCUACUUGUAUUUUAAUCGAAGUCUAAUAUCCUCCAUCUGUAGGCGUAAAUAUUACUGCCGUUGUUAAUGUUAUUUAAGUUUUACUACUGGAAAGGACAUUUAAGUUUGAAGGCAGGCAAGUCUACUGUUCUUAAAGCUGACAUUUAGACAUCUAAGAUUUUUUAUGUCUUUAUUGACAAAAACAUAUUUGACUUUGCAUAUCUAAAAUAAAGGAUUUGCGUUAUCUAAAAUAAAUAGAUCAUCUUUCUUUAGAAAAUUCAAUGUGGUGAAAUUAGGAUAUGAGAUAAAAGAAAUACUAUGCAUAUGAUUUGAUUGAAAUUUUGAAAGUGUAUAGACCCUGUUUUAGAAAUAUCAGUAUUAAUUCGGUAGACUAUAAAUUUAUAUUACAAAAUUAACUGUUUUCUACUUUUGUUGUAAUUUUCUUCUACUUUCUGGACAUUUUACUGAAAAUGCUGGAGAUUUUAAAUCAGUAAUUAAUAAAGUGAAUUCAUAAAAUAACUUUUAAACGCAUUGCUAUCUAAAGUACAAAUUCUUACGUUUUUUAAAAUAUAUUCUUAUAGUUAUUGUAUGUAACGUACUUGAAUCUUUACGGGUAUGGUUAAAAUAUUUUGUCCGCAUUUUAUUCAGUCAUUUAAAAUAUCAAAGCAAACUUAUUUCAAGUGAAAAAUAAUCCUUAUUCCUAUAAGCAGUAUUCAUUACAAGAACUAAUUUUACAUAUAUAAUCGUAACAAAAAAGAAACAUUAAACAGGCAUUUAUAGUUAU